AAACGGCGUAGUUGUCCAGAAGGCCUCCUGCCACAAGUGCCCAUUUGUACAUCCAGUGUCCUGCGUGGAAACAACUCCGGCUCUAGGGGGUAACUCCUGCCGCUAGGGGAGAGGGACCAGUUGUCCCUUCUCCCUGUAACCCAUACUGCCGCUGGGGAGAGACAUCUGUGAAGUCAUCUGUGCUUAAUGGGCAAAGGCCAG